GACGAACGCUGGCGGCGUGCUUAACACAUGCAAGUCGAACGGAAAGGCCCUGCUUUUGUGGGGUGCUCGAGUGGCGAACGGGUGAGUAACACGUGAGUAACCUGCCCCUGACUGUGGGAUAACUUCAGGAAACUGGGGCUAAUACCGGAUAGGAGCUCCUGCUGCAUGGUGGGGGUUGGAAAGUUUCGGCGGUUGGGGAUGGACUCGCGGCUUAUCAGCUUGUUGGUGGGGUAGUGGCUUACCAAGGCUUUGACGGGUAGCCGGCCUGAGAGGGUGACCGGACACACUGGGACUGAGAUGCGGCCCAGACUCGUACGGGAGGCAGCAGUGGGGAAUAUUGCACAAUGGGCGGAAGCAUGAUGUAGCAAAGCCGCGUGGGGGAUGACGGCAUUCGGGUUGUAAACCGAUUUCGCCUGUGACGAAGCGUGAGUGACGGUAAUGGGUAAAGAAGCACCGGCUAACUACGUG
rnacentral:rRNA from 1 species